UACAGAGGGGGCCAGCGUUAUUCGGAAUUAUUGGGCGUAAAGGGCGCGUAGGCGGCGAUUCAAGUGACGGGUGAAAUCCCUCGGCUUAACCGAGGAACUGCCUGUCAGACUGGAUUGCUUGAGGCCGGGAGAGGUGAGUGGAAUUCCCAGUGUAGCGGUGAAAUGCGUAGAUAUUGGGAGGAACACCAGUGGCGAAGGCGGCUCACUGGACCGGUACUGACGCUGAUGCGCGAAAGCGUGGGGAGCAAACGGG
rnacentral:rRNA from 1 species